UACGUAGGUGGCAAGCGUUAUCCGGAAUUAUUGGGCGUAAAGCGCGCGCAGGCGGUCUUUUAAGUCUGAUGUGAAAGCCCACGGCUCAACCGUGGAGGGUCAUUGGAAACUGGGGGACUUGAGUGCAGAAGAGGAGAGCGGAAUUCCACGUGUAGCGGUGAAAUGCGUAGAGAUGUGGAGGAACACCAGUGACGAAGGCGGCUCUCUGGUCUGUAACUGACGCUGAGGCGCGAAAGCGUGGGGAGCGAACAGG
rnacentral:rRNA from 1 species